rnacentral:rRNA from 1 species
GACGAACGCUGGCGGCGUGCCUAAUACAUGCAAGUUGAGCGCUGAAGGCUGGUACUUGUACCAACUGGAUGAGCAGCGAACGGGUGAGUAACGCGUGGGGAAUCUGCCUUUGAGCGGGGGACAACAUUUGGAAACGAAUGCUAAGACCGCAUAAAAACUUUAAACACAAGUUUUAAGUUUGAAAGAUGCAAUUGCAUCACUCAAAGAUGAUCCCGCGUUGUAUUAGCUAGUUGGUGAGGUAAAGGCUCACCAAGCCGAUGAUACAUAGCCGACCUGAGAGGGUGAUCGGCCACAUUGGGACGGAGACACGGCCCAAACCCCUACGGGAGGCAGCAGUAGGGAAUCUUCGGCAAUGGAAGAAAGUCUGACCGAGCAACGCCGCGUGAGUGAAGAAGGUUGUCGGAUCGUAAAACUCUGUUGGUAGAGAAGAACGUUGGUGAGAGUGGCAAGCUCAUCAAGUGACGGUAACUACCCAGAAAGGGACGGCUAACUACGUG